UAGAUAGAUAGUCUGGCGAGUAAUUUUAACUGAAUUUAGGACCGGUGGUGGUCAUUCAGUGUUUCUGUAAAAAUGGGGAAAAACUAUCAAUAAUACUGAUAAGAUAAUAAUCAUACUAUGAAUUAUACUAAGAACAAUAUAAAACGCACUAAUGAUUAACCUGCUGCUGGAUUCAUGAAUAUUAAUCACGUUGUCUGCAUUGGCUCGAACGGAUUUGCUGAAAUCAAAACAGGGACGAUAAUAGGUGAGCGCCAGUCAAUGAGAUUGUUGUUUGCGCAUUAGCUCCGCCCACGACCGGAGAACCCGGCAGUUAAGCUGAAGAAUUCCAAAGGAACUCCGUUAUUUUGACAGAAAAAUACAACAAAGAAUAACGUUUACAUACCAUGCAGAAUUGACGCGCUACAUGUAAGACUCCCUCGCUCCCUCUCCCUCUCUCUCUCUGCGUGUGAGGAAAAAAGCAAAGCGACGGCGAGUCGUGCGCUUCACACUAGAGCUUACGAAUUUUCAGACUCCUUGUCUUCCAUAUCUGAGACGUCUGACUCAAGCAACAGCUCAAGUGCAUGGACUAAUCCCUAGCAAGAGACAAAUAACUGAGGAGACAUCUGCACUGCCUCUUAAACAGAUGGUUAAAGAUGUGUUAAAGUUCAAGUCUGGUGGUGAAGCAGUACUACAGGAGUAUCAAGAAACAGAAACCCUUACAGAUGCCACAAGAAGACAAAUGAUUAACAUACUGGUGGCUCACAUGAUUGAUACACAUGGGCAUUUUAUUUUUAUUAUUAUUUUUUAAACCAAAUAACUGCAUGGCCAUUGUGCAAAUUAAGAUAACUAGUUUAUCUUCCCUUAGGCAACUCCCUACUAAAGCAAUCAGAAAACAGAAUGCUCUUGGCAUAGUGAUGCUGUUCCUUCCUCAGAGAUCCAUACUCCAAGAAAGGCUCCGAACACUUUUAUGAUGCUGCAAGUGACACAGGAUACAUUGCCUGGCGUAAUAAAAACAGUCCACAGCAAUAUGGAGCGAUGCCACCAGACAGCCCUCUUCCUCAACAGUCUACGGCCAGGAAAUGGCAUCCCUUCUUUUAAUCCCUUCCACCACUUCCAGGAGGACUGAAGUCUCCAAAAAUUGCAUGCGAUGCAGCUGAAAGCCAUGUAAUCUAUCAUAAGUUUGGAGAAGCACCUCAGCAACAACCAUCCGUUCCUCCUUGCUGUUGGACGUCAGAAAAGCAACAGCUUCUACAUCGCCUUGGAUAAGCAUCUCCUCCCGUGCCAGGCAAACUGCUUCCUUGGAGCAUUUGAUGAACUUUUAAAUUUUGUGCACAUUUUUAGCACAUUUUGUGUUCAGUUUGUCAUAUGAUAGUGCACUUGUGAACUUUUACACAUUACUACA